rnacentral:rRNA from 1 species
AGCGAACGCUGGCGGCAGGCCUAACACAUGCAAGUCGAACGAACCUUUCGGGGUUAGUGGCGGACGGGUGAGUAACACCUGGGAACGUGCCUUUAGGUUCGGAAUACCUCAGGGAAACUUGUGCUAAUACCGAAUGUGCCCUUCGGGGGAAAGAUUUAUCGCCUGUAGAGCGGCCCGCGUCUGAUUCGCUAGUUGGUUGAGGUAAUGGCUCACCAAGGCGACGAUCAGUAGCUGGUCUGAGAGGAUGAUCAGCCACAUUGGGACUGAGACACGGCCCAAACUCCUACGGGAGGCAGCAGUGGGGAAUCUUGCGCAAUGGGCGAAAGCCUGACGCAGCCAUGCCGCGUGAAUGAUGAAGGUCUUAGGAUUGUAAAAUUCUUUCACCGGGGACGAUAAUGACGGUACCCGGAGAAGAAGCCCCGGCUAACUUCGUG